rnacentral:ncRNA from 1 species
CUUAGAAGUUAACACAUUUGUUAUGAACACAAUGAGCACGGCAAACUGAGGUUAGCAUUGUUUGCCGUGACUGUAGUGAGUGUUCACUACACCCACAGUGCUGCGUAUAGUUUGUAAAUGCAAUCCUGUGAAUGGAUGUGCCGCAAAUCCUUCACAUCAUUUGGGUCUCUUCCCUUGGGAAUUAAUACUGGUGGUCUCUCUCUCCACCCGCCCGGCACCCUUCGAUGCUGGCAUCACGCGUUGUAUAUAACAGUCAUGGGUAGAACCAGCUCUCCUAGCACCUCUAGUAGCUAAAUGCCUCGUCAUCUAAUUAGUGACGCGCAUGAAUGGAUGAACGAGUUUCUCACUGUCCCCUUCUACUCUCUCGCAACCUACAGUCACGGGGAACGGGCUCAGUGGAAUCAGCUUGGAAAGAAGGUCCUGUUCGGGUUGGCUCUAGUCCGACUUUUUAAAACGGCUUGGGGGGUGUAGCAUAGGCGGUAGAUUCGGCGAUCGCAAAGGACCACUACCCUCAGUGUACUCUCAGUUAUUCCGUCGAGACACAUGCAUGGCAUGUGUUUUUGCGUUGCCGCGCCUCUCAGGGUGCUGAUCAAUGCAGCAGACACAGCCAAGGGUGGCAAUAACGCAGCAGCCAACCAGUACCUUGCAUGGGGACACUUGAAGGCUCUGGUGAAGGGGUUUAAGUGUGCCAUAGAGGGACAGAGAGAAGAUUUGGCACCAUGGAGGUUACCACCCGUGUGACGUGAAGCGGAAGCCACUAGACAGGCCUUCGUGUUACACAUGGAGCAGAGCCACAUGACAGUGGGAUUAGAGCCACCGCGAUAUGCUAAUAAGCUUCUCAGGUAUCCUACGAGUUCGGUCUGAUGCGCUGGACGUACCUGAAAAGAGGUAUAGACCUAAGAGACUGGAAAAUUGUGGAGCAGAGGAUGAGUAAAAUGUUCUGGAGAGAAGUGACAAAGUACCAGCUGCAGGCAGCGUUAGCUAAGGUUCGAUGGACAGGAAACCAUACCGGGUGAGCUUGACGAUUCGCAGCAAAGUUAAAACGUGGGAUGGCUGCUAGCCCAAAGGAGCUGGCAUCGUUCUAUUGCGCAGCACUACCUACAGGGAUACAUGUUGCGUCAACCAAUAGCCGGAAAAAAGGGGUAUCCACCUUAUAAGGCGGCAUCAACCGCUGUGGAGGGUCAGUUCCAGCCUAAAAUUGCCGUUCUAGAGGCUCGGCACAAGGAAGCCCGUGCCAUCAGGGCAGCGACACUGGCUAGUGAAACUUACUGAAGCUAUCCUGGUGGAUGAAAGAAAGGGGAUGGGCCUUGUCGCUUUUUUUGAAUGUAAAGAGUGGGACCAUUCAGCGCGGGUCAGGAUCAGUCGGGGGAACAUACCAAGAAACCAGGGAGGACGUGUAAGAAGUCUGGAUGUAUGGACCACUAUGCC